UAUUGCUCUUUAACGAGGAAUCCCUAGUAAGCGUGAGUCAUUAGCUCGCGUUGAUUACGUCCCUGCCCUUUGUACACACCGCCCGUCGCUACUACCGAUUGAAUGGCUUAGUGAGACUUUCGGAUGUGUUUGGAGCCGCUGGCAACAGCGACACCUUGCGCAGAAGUUAUUCAAACUUGGUCAUUUAGAGGAAGUAAAAGUCGUAACAAGGUUUCCGUAGGUGAACCUGCGGAAGGAUCAUUAAAAAAAAAUUUAAUGAAUGGUCGGAGGGGAACAUUUUUUGUUCCCCUUUGGCUUUAUUCAACCAACCCGCUCUUGUAUUUUGUAUCAAACAAAAAAUUUCUUUAAAACUAAUAAAAAAUAGUAAUGUAAAAAAAAACUUUCAACAACGGAUCUCUUGGCUCUCGCAUCGAUGAAGAACGCAGCGAAAUGCGAUAAGUAGUGUGAAUUGCAGAACUUUGUGAACCAUCGAAUCUUUGAACGCAAAUUGCGCCUUUCUCGGAAGGCAUGUCUGUUUGAGGGCACCAUUUAACAAAUAAUGUGCGUGUUGCGUUUUGCGCGCGGCGUGCACACGUUGAUGAGCUUUCCAAAAGAAAAUAUUUUUUUUUUGGUGGCGCAUAAUAAACAGCGUGAGGGCUUUUCUUAAUUCGAGUGUAGUAAAAUCUUUUUUUGACGACGCUUGGUUUGUGAGAAGCACAUUGCGCAAUGGGUGUGGCGGUACCCAGCCCCAACGCCACUCUUUCUCACGAAAGAAAGUUAAUCAUCAGGGCCUCAAAUCAGACAAGAGUACCCGCUGAACUUAAGCAUAUCAAUAAGCGGAGGAAAAGAAACUAACAAGGAUUCCCCUAGUAACGGCGAGUGAAGCGGGAACAGCUCAAAUUUUAAAUCUGACUGCUUCGCAGUUCGAGUUGUAGUUUGAAGGAGUCUGUCGCCAGUGCGACGAUGACACAAGUCCUCUGGAACGUGGCAUCGUAGAGGGUGAGAAUCCCGUCUCUGGUCGUUGUUGCGCGGGCAUACGGCAGGCAUCCGAAGAGUCGAGUUGUUUGGGAUUGCAGCUCCAAAUGGGUGGUAAACUCCAUCUAAGGCUAAAUAUUGGCGAGAGACCGAUAGCGAACAAGUACCGUGAGGGAAAGAUGAAAAGAACUUUGAAAAGAGAGUAAAACAGUACGUGAAAUUGUUGAAAGGGAAACGCUUGAAGUCAGUCGUGCCGGCGGAGAUUCAGCUCGCUUCGCGGAGUUGGGCGCAUUUCUUCGCAUGGCAGGUCAGCGUCAGUUUCGCGCGUCGUGAAAGGGCUCGGGUAAGGUGACUCUCUCCGGGGAGUGUUAUAGACCUGAGCAGAUGCGCUGCGCGGGACUGAGGAUUGCAGCGGACACCCUUCGGGGCGUGGCGACCGACCCCUGCUUCAUCACCCUUGUCCGAUAGCGUGCUAACGGGCCGGGGAGCGAUGGGUGCACCGGGUUGGCAAGCCGGCGGUUUCGCUAAGGACGCUGACGUAAUGGCUUUAAACGACCCGUCUUGAAACACGGACCAAGGAGUCUAACAUAUGUGCGAGUGUUU
rnacentral:rRNA from 1 species